CGCCGAUGAUAGUGUGGCAGUUUGCCAUGCGAAAGUAGGGAAUUGCCAAGC
rnacentral:rRNA from 1 species